rnacentral:rRNA from 1 species
GAUGAACGCUAGCGACAGGCUUAACACAUGCAAGUCGAGGGGCAUCGGGGAGCGAAGCUUGCUUUGCUCCGCCGGCGACCGGCGCACGGGUGAGUAACGCGUAUGCAACCUGCCCGUUUCAGCGGGAUAACCCGGAGAAAUCCGGCCUAAUACCGCAUGUGGCCGAGGGGAGGCAUCUUCUUUCGGCCAAAGGAGGCGACUCCGGAGACGGAUGGGCAUGCGUGACAUUAGCUAGUUGGCGGGGUAACGGCCCACCAAGGCGACGAUGUCUAGGGGUUCUGAGAGGAAGGUCCCCCACACUGGUACUGAGACACGGACCAG